AGAGUUUGAUCCUGGCUCAGGAUGAACGCUGGCGGCGUGCUUAACACAUGCAAGUCGAGCGAAGCACUUUUUUAGAACUCUUCGGAGGGAAGAGAGGGUGACUUAGCGGCGGACGGGUGAGUAACGCGUGGGCAACCUGCCUUACACAGGGGGAUAACAAUUAGAAAUGAUUGCUAAUACCGCAUAAGACCCCAGUACCGCAUGGUACAGGGGUAAAAACUGAGGUGGUGUAAGAUGGGCCCGCGUCUGAUUAGGUAGUUGGUGGGGUAGAAGCCUACCAAGCCGACGAUCAGUAGCCGACCUGAGAGGGCGACCGGCCACAUUGGGACUGAGACACGGCCCAAACUCCUACGGGAGGCAGCAGUGGGGAAUAUUGCACAAUGGGGGAAACCCUGAUGCAGCGACGCCGCGUGAGUGAGGAAGUAUUUCGGUAUGUAAAGCUCUAUCAGCAGGGAAGAAAAUGACGGUACCUGACUAAGAAGCCCCGGCUAACUACGUGCCAGCAGCCGCGGUAAUACGUAGGGGGCAAGCGUUAUCCGGAUUUACUGGGUGUAAAGGGAGCGUAGACGGAAUUGCAAGUCUGAUGUGAAAAUCCGGGGCCCAACCCCGGAACUGCAUUGGAAACUGUAUUUCUAGAGUGUCGGAGAGGCAAGUGGAAUUCCUGGUGUAGCGGUGAAAUGCGUAGAUAUCAGGAGGAACACCAGUGGCGAAGGCGGCUUGCUGGACGAUGACUGACGUUGAGGCUCGAAAGC
rnacentral:rRNA from 1 species